rnacentral:rRNA from 1 species
UACGUAGGGGGCAAGCGUUGUCCGGAAUCAUUGGGCGUAAAGCGCGUGUAGGCGGCUCGGUAAGUCUGCUGUGAAAGUCCAGGCUCAACCCUGGGAUGCCGGUGGAUACUGUCGAGCUCGAGUCCGGAAGAGGCGAGUGGAAUUCCUGGUGUAGCGGUGAAAUGCGCAGAUAUCAGGAGGAACACCAAUGGCGAAGGCAGCUCGCUGGGACGUGACUGACGCUGAGGAGCGAAAGCGUGGGGAGCGAACAGG